rnacentral:rRNA from 1 species
CCCUUAGAUGUUCUGGGCUGCACGCGUACUACAAUGGAACUCGCAUCGAGUCGCGAAACUGAGAAGUUAAGCGAAUCUUGGAAUGUGUUCCGUGACCGGGACAGUUGAUUGCAAUUAUUCAACUCGAACGAGGAAUUCCUUGUAAUCGUGAUUCAUCAUAUCGCGAUGAAUACGUCCCUGCCCUUUGUACACACCGCCCGUCGCUCCUACCGAUUGAGUGCUCAGGUGAAUAAUUCGGACUGCAGCAGUGUUUGGAUCCCGAACGCUGCAGCGGAAAGUUUAGUGAACCUUAUCACUUAGAGGAAGGAGAAGUCGUAACA